rnacentral:rRNA from 1 species
UACAUGGGGUGCAAACGUUGCUCGGAAUUAUUGGGCGUAAAGCGCGCGUAGGCGGUUACUUAAGUCGGAUGUGAAAGCCCUCGGCUUAACUGAGGAAGUGCACCCGAAACUGAGUAGCUAGAGUACGAAAGAGGGUCGCGGAAUUCCCGGUGUAGAGGUGAAAUUCGUAGAUAUCUGGAGGAACACCGGUGGCGAAGGCGGCAUCCUGGACCACGACUGACGCUGAGUGAGCGAAAGCCAGGGGAGCAAACGGG